AUUAUCUGCAAUGCACAGCAGCAGAGGGCUGAAGCUGCUGCUCAGUGCUCCCCGGUGCUGAUUUUCCAGCACCACCAGAGGGCAGCGCACGUCUGAAAUUCAGCUGCAGCUCGCAGGGGCGGAGUGCUGUGGGACGAGAAGAGGGGCAAAGGCAGUGCUCUGUCCACAGCCUGUGAAUUGUAAGGAUCUCCCCCAGAACUGCACCGAGCAAUAGAGGGAAAGUGAUUCUCGGUGCUGCACGGUGCAAAUGAAUGUAUAACUCGACUUGUACGCAGUGUAUAGCACAGGGCACCUGGAGGAUGGGGUAAAGAAACAAAACAUAGGCAGAAGGACAGUCUACACCUCGGGGGAUAUUAAAGCAGGCAGCUUCUCCUCCCAGGGACCGUGGAUGGAUCCUGGUUUUGGUCAGAGGAAGGCUUUGGAAUGACUCAUCACCUCUGUUACACAGAACUUGGGUUCUGUUGGCACCACCAUGGCCUACUCCCAAGAAAGAGGCCCCGCAUGCUUUUCCUCAGCACGAGGGUGAGUCAAUGCCACUGAAAUCUCACUGGUGGGCUGCUCUUGCUUGUUUUUCUUCACUUAAAACACAUAUUUAGACAUGCUAUUGUUACUGGAACAAACUCUGGAAAGCAUAUGAUGACUGC
ensembl:lncRNA